rnacentral:tRNA from 2 species
GGCGGAAUAGCUCAGUUGGCUAGAGCAUCCGGUUCAUACCCGGCAGGUCGUUGGUUCAAGUCCGACUUCCGCUACCA